UACGUGCUAACUGUGCAGGUUUCUGUAUGUUUCCACACGGGAUGUCGGACUCCACACCCGAGCUCAUUGAUUACUUGGAGGGUAAAAUUUCCUUCGAGGAAUUUGAGCGACAGAGAGAAGAAAGAAAAGCGAAGCUAAAGGAAGGUGGGGGUGAUGGAUCUGAGAAUGACGCUUUCGAGCAGGAUGACGCCAUUCCGAGCACGUCAAAGCAGAGUCCCAGAAGGGUGCACAAGCAUCCACCAGGUGGCAUGGAAGAAGGGGUCAGCGUGUCUGUCCAGAAGGCCUUUGCCUCCAUGAUGGGGGAGGGGCUUGUAGACAUGGAUGAGGAUGACAAUGGUGAUGAGGAGUGGAGAGAUAUUGGAGAGGAAGAUGGCGCAGAUGAUGAGGUCAAUGGUGGUGCUGAGAUCACGCCAGGAGAUGUAUUCGCUCUUGAGAUGGAACUAAACCGGGAAAACAAGAAAAUGAUGAAGGAAAGGCGUCCACGGAGCAAGCUUCCACGUGCCCUCCGAGGGCUAAUGGGUGAGGCUAACAUCCGCUACGCACGAGGAGAGAAGGAUGACGCCAUCCUUAUGUGCAUGGAGAUCAUCCGUCAGGCCCCAUUGGCAUAUGAGCCUUUCUCCACACUGGCGAUGAUCUAUGAAGACCAGGGUGACAUGGAGAAGGCAUUGCAGUUUGGACUGAUUGCAGCACAUCUGAACCCCAGUGACUGUGAGGAGUGGGUCAAGCUAGCUGACAUGUCCCUGGAGCAGGACAACAUUAAGCAGGCCAUCAUAUGCUAUACCAAAGCGAUUAAGUAUGACCAGAGUAAUGUACGCUACCUGUGGGAGCGCUCCAGCCUCUAUGAGCAGGUAGGCGAGCACAAACAGGCCAUGGAUGGCUACCGCCGCAUCCUCAGUCUGCUGCCCCCUACUGAUGGGGAGCACUUCAUGCAGCUGUCCCGUGACAUGGCCAAUGAGAUUAGGAGUUACUAUGAGAGUAAUGAACUUCCUUCAGCUAUCGGUGUGAUGGAGGAAGCCCUGAUGCGUCACCCUGAGCUUGUCACACACGAAUGUGUUAACAUGGCGGCCGAGCUUUACGUAGCCAACCACCAGUACAGUAAAGCCUUAGAGGCCCUGGUUACAUUCUGUGGCAUUGUGCUGGAGAGAGAGGUUGAUGGUCAGGAAGGCAUGGAGCAGACUGAAGGGAGAACCGAGGAGGAGGAAGUAAGGAAGAAGAGUGAUGAGAAGAAAGAUGUGCUAAAAGGACCGAUUCUGGAGGUGGGAGUGCCUGAUGACAUUCCAGUAGAUAUCAGGGUGAAGCUCAUGGUAUGCCUGAUCCACCAGCAUGUUUUCAAACCCCUGGAUCCCAUGCUGACGUCCCUGAUGGAACAGAGCCCCGAGGAGCUGGGAGAUCUUUACCUAGACGUGGCCGAAGCUUUCAUGGACGAGGGCGAGUACACCUCGGCCCUGCCGCUACUCUCCGCACUUGUCUGCUCCGAGCGCUACAACUUGGCCGUGGUCUGGCUCCGACAUGCUGAGUGCCUGAAGGCACUGGGCCAUGCAGAGGUGGCAGCCCGGAGCUACACCAAGGUGGUGGAGAUGGCCCCACUGCACCUGGAGGCACGUCUUGCCCUGGCCACCCUGCAACAGCAGCUGGGCCAGCCUGACCGUGCCCUAGAGGCCCUGGAGCCCAUGCACGAUCCCGACACACUGGCACAGGACUCUGCUGCUGCACAGCAGGAGCUGAAGUUGUUGCUGCACCGCUCCACAUUGCUCCGAUCUCAAGGCCGAACUGAGGAUUACAUAGACACUCUGCUGACCAUGUUGUCCAUGCUGCUCAAGGUGGCAAUGGUGAGAGCUCAGGUGUGUCUGAUAGCUAGCACUUCGUCUGGCUGCAAACACGUGUGCCUGAUAAAAGUGUCACGCAGCAAGCUGUCUGAAAUCGAGGACCAAGAAGCGGCCUACCUGGAUGUGACGGGUAAGACAAGCGUGUUGUCACGGGAAGACUGGUGGAAGCUGUUGCUGUGUUGCCUAACGGCGCUGUGUGAGGAGCAACGCUUUGGCGAGGCUGAGCUGCUUGUCGACUCCUCGCUGGAGUUCUACUCCUUCUAUGAUGACCGUACUAAACGUGAGGAGCUGGAAUACUUGGGCCUCUCUGCUGCCUUCCUGGACCGAAACUUCCGGAAAGCCUAUGACUACAUCCGACUCAUGCUGAUGGGCAGCGUGGAACGGGCGCAGCUCUGGAACGUCUUCAACCAGGUGACGCUGCACUCGCAGGACGUGCGCCACCACCGUUUCUGUCUGCGCCUCAUGCUGAAGAACCCAGAGAGCCAUGCGCUCUGUAUCCUCAACGGACACACCUCGCUUGUGUCUGGCACAUUCAAACACGCCCUCGGUACACCAUCACAGCACAGAGACAACUGCUUUCUGCCUCUUUUCCAAUUCCACCUGGGGGUCAUUUAUGGAUUGUUUUAAAGGAGCAGUAUGUAAGAUUUAAGGAGCAAACAUAAAAUAUAGUAUACCAUGUUUUCCUUAGUGAAACCUAUGAAUCAUAGGGAGUGGGUCCUCUUCUGACAGAGGCCACCAUAUUUCUAGAGUAGCCCAGAAUGGGUGAUCUAACUGCUUGCUCAGUUUAGCUUCCUAUGCAAGUGUUGCUGCAUAUUUGGUAAAUUAUUGUGAAAGAAAUUAAAAUUUAGUGUUGUCCUGUUGCUGUGAGUCACCCUAUAAAGUAAGAGAUAUUCAUUCAAAAAUCAGAGCUAUUAGAUCAGAUUUGGCCUGAGUUUUUUGGAAGACUUAAGUUUUAACAUCACUGAUCUGGCUCGAUGGACUGGUUAUCUGGCUAACAUUAGUAGGGGGCAUGCACUGAAAGUUAGAAGAGCAAAAUCACCUGAAUAUGGAAACAUCAGAAUGGUCAAAGGAAAUGCAGAAGCAAACUUUUGGAGUGUGGGGAUGACUUGUUGUCCUGUUUCCCCUUGCCGUAGCAUUUGUGUUGUACCUUAUCAAUUUCUAGUUCUGACAGCAGUUACCGCUUGCAGAUGUUGGAACAUUGAGCUACCAAGUUGUUUUGGAGCUACUACCUGUUUUCAGUGUUCAGACUUCUAGAACACAGAUUUACAAUGUACCCUUAUAUAUUGACAUAAAUGCACAGGCCACUGCUUUGCUCUUACCAGAGUCUUCUGUCCACUCUGAACAUGCUGCUCCCAUCCAUCCAUCUCCACCACACUACUGGGGACGUUGCUGUUAGACAUGUCUCCAUCACAGACACAGUUAUAUUGCAGGAUCCAUUUGUGCUGUAAUCCAGACUCUCAGCUCAUCCAUUCUGUUUACCAUUGUCCAAAAAAUGCUGGAACAGGUGGUCAAUGUGGGUUCAGCCUUGGCUUAGUGCAUAGUUUGCCUCCCUUUCCCCCUCUUUGACCUCAACUCUGGCAGAUUUUCUGAGGGAGUUACAGGGCCUUGAAGAAGUAUUCAUAUCCCUUGAACUUUUCCACAUUUUUUUCAUGUUGCACCUACAAACUUGAAUGUAUUUUAUGUGAUAAACGUCUGAACAGCAAUUUAAGUCUUGCCACAGAUUCUCAAUGGCAUUUAGGUCUGGACUUUGACUGGGCCAUUCUAACACAUGAAUGUGCUUUGCUCUAAACCAUUCCAUUGUAGCUCUGGCUGUAUGUUUAGGGUUGUUGUCCUUCUGUAAGGUGAACCACCGCCCCAGUCUCAAGUCUUUUGCAGCCUCUAACUGGUUUUCCUCCAGGAUUGCCCUGUAUUUAGCUCCAUCCAUCUUCCCAUCAACUCUGACCAGCUUCCCUGUCCCUGCUGAGGAAAAGCAUCCCCACAGCAUGAUGCUGCCACCACCAUGUUGAAAGGCCAGAUUUGUGGAGUACACGGCUAAUAGUUGUCCUGUAGACCGAUUUGUCCCUCCUGAGCUGUGGCUCUCUGAAGCUCCUCCAGAGUGACCAUGGGCCUCUUGGCUGUUUCUCCAAGUAGUGCUCUCCUUGCCUGGGCUGUCAGUUUAGGUAGGUUUGCGGUUAUGCCAUACUCCUUCCAUUUUUGGAUGAUUGUCAAAGCAGUGGACAUUCACCUAAAUUGGCUAGUUUAAAAGCACAGCAAGUACAUAUUGUUUUGGUGUAGCUUUCUAUAGAACCUAAACUGCAAUGAUCAUAGAGUUCUGAGUUCAUUGUGAAUACUGCUUCAAUGUGAAUGCCCUUGCAAUCAUCAGAAAAAUUAACUAAAAUGGAAUGCAGCACGAUCCAUGUAAAAAA